GUGGAACGAGCGGCGGACGGGUGAGUAACACGUGGGCAACCUGCCGGACUGAUGGGAAUAACCCCGGGAAACCGGGGCUAAUGCCCAAUACGCCCUGACCUCGCCUGAGGUCAGCGGUAAAGCAGGGAUCUUCGGAUCCUUGCACAGUCCGAUGGGCCCGCGGCGCAUUAGCUAGUUGGAGAGGUAAGGGCUCCCCAAGGCGACGAUGCGUAGCCGACCUGAGAGGGUGAUCGGCCACACUGGGACUGAGACACGGCCCAGACUCCUACGGGAGGCAGCAGUAGGGAAUCAUCCGCAAUGGGCGAAAGCCUGACGGUGCAACGCCGCGUGAGUGAUGAAGGUUUUCGGAUCGUAAAGCUCUGUUGACAGGGAAGAACCCACGCCAGUCGAACAGGCUGGCGUGCUGACGGUACCUGUCCAGAAAGCCCCGGCUAACUACGUGCCAGCAGCCGCGGUAAUACGUAGGGGGCAAGCGUUGUCCGGAAUUAUUGGGCGUAAAGGGCACGCAGGCGGUUUCGUCAGUCCGAUGUGACAGGCCACGGCUCAACCGUGGAAGGCCAUUGGAAACUGCGAGACUUGAG
rnacentral:rRNA from 1 species